CAGUGUAAAGCAAUUAUACUCCAAUAAAGAUCUGAAGAAGAAGAAAAAGAAAUAGCUGUACUUUUUACACUUGUGUUCUCCGUGAUGCCCCAUAGAGGCUGCCUGGGCUUCUGAGCUUUGGAAGCAGAUGAAUUCUGCCUCUGCCUCACCCUUCUUCGGGGCAGUCACAGACUGAUGGUCUGGCCUUUGGGAGAGAGGGAACUCUGGCUCUCCUCCUUCUCCAACAGUUGCCAUCACACAUGAUGGAUCCAGAGAUUGGAAGGACUAUGGUAUUCUUUUUUUGUGCUGGGACAAAGGUACCAUCAGUUUCCUCAUCAGCCAACCAAGCGAGUGAAUGAAAAACUCCCGACUGCACCUAAGCACUCAGGGGGCCUCAGUAAAUAUGCCUGUUGGCCUUGCCCAGAGCCGCCCAAUGAAACUGAACUGUCUGGACGGUGUUUCAUGUACGUUCUUUGACGUUAGCACCUGCCGGCUUCUUUGAAGUUCUGUCUUUCAAAAUAAUAAUCAUCACAAUAAAGUUAA